rnacentral:misc_RNA from 1 species
ACCUUUUUAUUCAGAUAGCUCUGGAUGUGGCCAUGGUUUAUUUUUGGGGCAGGAGGUCUUUUGCUUAUUUGAUCCUUUCCACAUUUGUUGGAGGUGGGAUGCACCCCAUGGCUGGUCAUUUCAUCUCAGAACAUUAUGUCUUCAAGCCAGAGCAAGAAACGUAUUCCUAUUAUGGCCCCCUGAAUUUUCUAACUUGGCAUGUGGGGUACCAUAAUGAGCAUCAUGAUUUCCCAAGGAUCCCUGGUAGCAAGCUUCACAAGGUGAAGGAAAUUGCACC